ACCCUUCCAUUCCCUUUCCCAUCAGAAUCAAACACUGAUCUUGGUGUUCAUAAAAGGAGAAACAGUAAUACUGAAGCUGGCAUCAAGGGGACUCAGUCUGCCAUAUAGUACAUAGGUUAGUUUUACACAAUG